AAAAAAAAAAAAAAAAAAAAAAAACAAUAUAUUGAGUCUCCAUUGAUACACACAGGUUAUUCAUUGCCAUCCCAAUUCACAUCCUGGACAACGGUAUGCUCUAAUCAGGGUUCUCCUCGACUAAGGGAAACGAAGCUAGGGAUAAGAUAACCCAUUCCACCAUCUAGGGCUCGAUCGACUCCUAUUUUCCUGGCAACCAAACAGAGCCCAGUUGUGGAGUCUCCAAUGAAGGAAACAACUCAUCAAUCGUAUAUUAUCAGUGUGAUUCAACGAGAUAAUUUAGUCAGAAAAUUUGUCGAAGAGCACCUGGAAGGAUACACUACUGGAAUUGGGUGUUCAAGUUUGUAAUCUUAUGUGGAGUAUGGUUAAUGGGUUAACCUUGUCAUUGAAUAGCUCUUCAUGUAGGCAUAUUAAAUCCGUCACUGUCCAUUCUAAUCACUUGUACUAUGGUCGUUUAAAAAUGUGCAUCUGAAUGGCAAAAUCAUUGAAAAAAACACUCCUCCUAGUACAUCCCUACUUCACUAGGAGUUAUUCAUCAGUUGUCCGUAUCUCUUCAAUUACGGAAAAUACUGCUUUAAGAUCGAUUUAUGAUGCAGAAUGUGUUUGCAGUUACAGUGUUGGGAAGCUUCAAUUUCCAGAUAUAUGCCAUAAGCAUUAUCUGAGUCCCUCCCUCCAACAUUUCUCUACUAGUAUUAAGACAGAAAGCAUAUGUUGGGAAGGAUCCUCACACACGGUUCUGCUCAGAAAGCUCGAAGUGGCUUUGAAGGAUCAUCAAGUUGAUGAAGCAUGGGAAACUUAUAAUGAUUUCAGAAACCUGUAUGGUUUUCCUAACCAGUCUCUCAUGAGUACACUGCUACUUGAGUUGUCCUACUCAUCUGAUCCCCACUGGCUUCAGAAGGCAUGCGAUUUGGUUUUUCUAAUACAAAAAGAGAAAUCUAAUUUAGUUCGAUCCGACUUCCUGAUUAGGCUCUCCCUAUCCUUGGCAAGAGCUCAAAUGCCUGUUUCCGCAUCCAUGGUUUUCAGGCUGAUGCUGGAGAAAGAGAGUUUGCCCCCAGCGAAUGUAUUGGGGCUGAUCUUUAUGCAUAUGGUGAAGACACAGGUUGGGACAUAUCUUGCAUCAAAUAUAUUGAUUGAGCUUUGUGAUCGAUUUCAACAUUCAAAUGCAAACAGAUCUGCUUCUACAAAGCCGAUAAAACCUGAUACGAUGAUCUUUAACCUUGUUCUGGAUGCUUGUCUGAGGUUUGGGUCAUCUUUCAAUGGCCAACAGAUUAUAGAACUGAUGGCACAAGUGGGUGUCAUAGCUGAUGCACAUACCAUUGUUAUCAUUUCGAGGAUUCAUCAGAUGAAUGGCCAGAGGGAUGAGUUGAAGAAAUUUAAGCAUCAUAUUGAUCAGGUUUCAGUUUCUCUGGUUCAUCAUUACAGGCAGUUCUAUGAUAGUUUGCUGAGCUUACAUUUCAAAUUUAAUGAUGUCGAUGCUGCUUCGGGACUCAUAUUAGACAUAUAUAGAUGUAAUGAAUCUCUUAAUGGCAAAAAGUAUAGAAAAGACCCCCAGAAACCCUGCCUUGUGUCAAUUGGAUCUCACAAUCUCAGGGCAGGGUUGAAAAUACAGAUAUUACCUGAGCUGCUACAGAAGGAUUCUGUCCUCAAAAUGGAAACUAAAGAAGAGCUUCUUAUAUAUAAGAAUGGUAAAGUUGUCCUUAGCGACAAAGGAAUAGCCAAGCUUAUCCUACAAUACAAGGGAUGUGGUAGGAUUAGUGAGUUGUCAAAGCUUUUAAUUAGCAUUCAGAAGAAGGUAAGUUCAUUGAAAGAAGAAAGUUUGUGUUCUGAUGUGAUUGAUGCCUGCGUUAAUUUGGGGUGGUUGGAGACUGCUCAUGACAUUUUAGAUGACAUGAGGUUGGGAGGGACUCCCAUGGGCACUAGGUCCUAUAUAUCGCUGUUGAGGGCUUAUCAUGAAAGAAAGAUGUUUGGGGAAGCAGAGGCUUUGCUAAAUCGAAGUAAGAAAGCUGGUUUGGUUGAAAAAUUGUUUGAUGAGGCCAUAACUGUUUCAGAUGGUGAAUCAGAUUUGGCCAAGUCUAUCAUCCGGGAAUUGGAAGAAGAGGGGAAAACUGUGCUUUCUGUGGUUUAUGAAUACAAUUCUUCUAUCUACUUCUUCUGGAAAGCUAAAAUGAUAGGGGAUGCUUUGAAUACAUACAGAAAAAUGCAAAUGAUGAAAAUCCAGCCCAUUGUGCAAACAUUUUUUAAUAUGGUUUCUGGGUAUUCUUCUUUGGAAAUGUAUCGUGAAAUCACCAUCUUAUGGGGGGACAUUAAGAGGAAUAUAGAGAAUGGGAAUUUAGUGGUUAACAGGGAUUUAUUUCAGUUGUUAAUAUUGAAUUUUAUUCGAGGUGGUUACUUUGAGAGAGUGAUGGAGGUUAUUGGUUAUAUGAAGGAGCAUGGUAUGUACAUCGACAAGUGGAUGUUUAAAAUUGAGUUCCUAAAGUUUCACAAAGAUCUCUAUAGGAGCUUAAAAGCAUCAAAUGCUAGAACUGAGGCUCAAAGCAACCGGAUUGAACAUGUUCGGGCAUUUAGGAAGUGGGUUGGUAUUGACUGAUAUUUUUUGAGUGUAUGGCUUGUUUUGAAGCUAGGUUCUGCAUUUUGGCCUUGACUCCUUGUUUAGGCCAUUUUCAGCUUGCACCAAUGCCUGCAAUUUAUGCAAAUUGAAGUUGAAUGGUUGAAGCAACAUGCUAAUCUUAAGCCCAACCAGCUCUGUCCCCAAAUUCUAUGAGAAUUUUGGAAGCCCUUUUAUAGGGAUGAACAGUUGAACCUAACUCUGCAUCCUCCUGAAACUGUUACAAAGUUUUAAGAUUCUGGAACUACUGCCAGAUCAAGAUUAAGGAUUCUGAAAUCCAUAUAUCACCUCCGUGAGACAGAUUAUUAUCUUUGCCAACAAGUGUUGGGCUGCUAAUUCUGUCUUAUCUGAUCAUGGAGUGGUUUUGGUGAAAGCAUGACAUAGUGCAUUUCUAUUGUGUAUGGAGGAAGAGAGCUCAAGGGUUUUGCAGAUAUUUGAAGGAUGAUGGAUGCUGGGGUAACAUCUUAAUUUGUCUGUGGUUCCAAAAUUACUGCUAUGAGACUGAGGUCACCGGCAUCUGUGCAGUGUUUGUGGCUUCACUGUCAACAUUCUGGUUACAAAUUAAGGCUACAAAGAUCAAGUACCUGCGAGUGAAGGUCCAGUUUACCUACAUUUGUAUGCUCGUUUCAUUAUUGGGAGGUGUUUUGCUUUUUCUGCAAUGGAAUGAUGAGUUACUUCAGAGCAAGCUCUGCACUUGGGUUUUGGCAGAAUUUCAACUUGAGUUCUUGGCCCCCACUCCAUAUCAUCGUUACUCAUCUGUUGAGGUGGCAGCAUGGCAUUUCUCAAAGCUACAAAGAAAAGCAUGGAUGAGCCAUUGGAUAAGCUCUUCCCUGGCUUAUUCAACGGGAGCUAAAGCUCGAAUCAGUAAAUGCCUCCCAUGCCUCUCCAUUUCACUUUUCCUCUUGCCUCGCUUUUUGGUUUCUAAGGUAUUGAAAUAUAUUAUUAUUAAAAACAAUACAUUUUAUUACAUUUUGCAUUAUUAAUAUAUCAAAAAUAUACUUAUUUUAUUAUUUGAAUAAAUAAUAACUGAAUUGAGUUCAUUCUA